GCCAUACAAACUGAACGAUCGGAAAAAAGUUCUUGUAUGGAAAACUUUUGCAUUUGACAAGAUAUAUUCACGAAAUUUGGUAUAGAUUAUUUUCUAAGGCAAUAAUGUAAUCUCCGAAGAAAUUGUUCAGAUCGAUUAACUAUAGCAUAUAGCUGCCAUACAAACUGAAUGAUCGAAAUCAAAUGCUUGCAUGGGAAACUCCCUCAUUUAACGAUAUAUCUUCACGAAAUUUGGUAUGAGUUAUUAUUUAUGGAAAGAAUGUAAUCUCCUCUCUCUUAAAAGCAUGAUGAAAGAAUUCACUUUGUUUUUAACUCAUGCCAUAUUGUCAGAUUCUCAAAUAUUCCAUCCGGCUAGUCAUAACUGGGUCUAUAAACAAUAUAAUUUUCUUAUAUUGGUUAUAUAGUUCUGAAACUGAAUUAAUCGAGAACUAUACUACGUAUUUUUUCUAUAUUCAAGUUUAAUAAUAAACACAUCAUUAUCAUUUUUCGUUCGUUCGUUUUUUUUGCCAUCCCUCGUCUUAAAUAUACCCAAAAUUUGAGCGCGAAGAUAGACGACCUCUUGAACAAUCAGCUCCAUAAAGUAAUGUGAGGUAUUGAAAGGACUUUUAGUUAGCGAAGCUUGUUAAGGAACGUUAUACGUGUCGAGAGCCGAGUUCAUACAUACAUAGUUCUUCCGUUAGUACUACAAAUCUUUCUUUCGCUCUUCACUCAUAGAAGGAUAAGAUAUUGUAUAUGAGAUAUCUCUAGCUGUCUCUUUCUUUCCCUCACACCCUUACACAUAGAGGCUUUGACGCUUUUUAAAACGUAAAAUAAAUUAUUUUAAAGUUAUUUCUGAUUCCUUCUCUAAUUUAAAGUCAGGAGAAACUAAAAAAUUAGUUUAUUUAACUUUAAUUAUUUUUUCAUUUAUAUUAUUUUUUAUAGGGUGGAGAUCUAUAUAAAAUAAAAUAUUUUGAACAAAUGGAAUUUUAAGUUAUAAUCUUCUAUUUUUGACAAGGUGUCAAGCAUCGAGCAUACAGUUUAGCAGCUUAAAAUUCACCACGUGAAAGAGCUCCUGUCAGUUAUGCAAUAAACUACUGUAAGCAAGCAAACAAAUGAAAAUUAAGAGUUAAAGAAGAAAGAAAAGUCAAUUGAAAAGAGUUGAAAUGAAAUGUAUUUUAUUUGAGAGCAACUACUACAAUUGACAUUAUCGUACUAACAUAUCUACAUUUUAACUUAAAUAUACGUAAAAUCAUGUACCUUUUAAAUGAAAUUAAUGCGUAAGUACAAAAGCAUGUGAGUUUUUUUAAUUUAAGAAUUUGUUGAAUGGCUGAAUUCAAGUUUAAUGGAAAUGUCAGUAAAUUCGCCAAAGUAAGUGUACUCGUAAGUAAUGUAAAGUAAAAGAAAAAAAUAUAUAUAUAUAUAAAUGAAUAAAUGAAAUAUUAAACGUUUUAAUUUCGGUUAUACCGAUGACAUAA